rnacentral:rRNA from 1 species
GAUGAACGCUGGCGGCGUGCCUAAUACAUGCAAGUCGAGCGAACAGACGAGGAGCUUGCUCCUCUGACGUUAGCGGCGGACGGGUGAGUAACACGUGGAUAACCUACCUAUAAGACUGGGAUAACUUCGGGAGACCGGAGCUAAUACCGGAUAAUAUAUUGAACCGCAUGGUUCAAUAGUGAAAGACGGUUUUGCUGUCACUUAUAGAUGGAUCCGCGCCGCAUUAGCUAGUUGGUAAGGUAACGGCUUACCAAGGCAACGAUGCGUAGCCGACCUGAGAGGGUGAUCGGCCACACUGGAACUGAGACACGGUCCAGACUCCUACGGGAGGCAGCAGUAGGGAAUCUUCCGCAAUGGGCGAAAGCUUGACGGGGCAACGCCGCGUGAGUGAUGAAGGUCUUCGGAUCGUAAAACUCUGCUAUUAGGGAAGAACAAAUGUGUAAGUAACUAUGCACGUCUUGACGGUACCUAAUCAGAAAGCCACGGCUAACUACGU